GGCUGGUCCAAAGGUAGUGAGUUAUCUCGAUUGUUCAGUCAGUUACGGGUUGAACUCCUUGUUCUACUCUUUCCCCUCUUCUCACUACUGCACUUGACUAGUCUAAA
ensembl:Y_RNA Y_RNA Y RNA